rnacentral:lncRNA from 1 species
GUGUUUGUCUGCUAGAUGAUUAACAAUAACUGCUCUGAAAACCUAGGUGUACAGAACAGACAAGAAGUCAGCUCGGGUUGAGGGGAAGCAGGAUAAGACCCCCUUCCCCGCAGGAUGGUGGAGGAGGAACCUUCAGCACCUGGGUUUUCAGGAUGCUGGAUCUCUGAGAGCAUCUCUCACAGCUCAAGUACAGCCAGACCCUCCUCUGACACAGCCUGUUCAGGCGAAGGUGGCACCUGCCCUAGAGACCCACAGCCCUGUGCGGGGCUCAGCUGGAGCUGAACUUUCCUCCCUUGGUAAGAGUCAGGGCCAGGGGUGGGGAGAGGAGAGAAGCAGCAGGCCUGAGGGGCACUGUGGAAACUCCAUGCCACGCUAACUCUCGUCUGAUGUGCUCCGGCCAAAGCCACGCUUCUCGGAGGGAGUUUCCCUUCACACAUCCGGAAAUCAUCAACAUCUAGUCUCCCCACAGAACACUCAUUCCCCAGGAGGCAGACGCUUGGCUGUAACACGGGGUAAUGAGGGGCGCGCCUUCGUGCCCAUCUGUAGUGUUUCCUGUUACCUAUUUUACCUUAAGCUACAAAUGAUUCCCGUUUACACGGGACACAGUGACACAGACAGCAAAACACAUGAGAUUCAGUGUGAUCCCACACCUGUCACUGCUGACCUCAAGUGCUUUAUUCAUUUUGCUUCUAGAGUUUAUACUCUCUCCUGGGGUUUCAGGCCUGUGGAUUCAAUGAACCAUAGAUCAAGAAUUUUUUUUAAUGUGUUUGUGCUCAGCAUUCAGACUUUAUUAUUCAUUAAACAAUAUAGUUUAACAACUACUCGCAUGGUAUGUCCAUGGUAUAGCUGUUACGAGCAACCCUGACAUGACUGUCUGCAGGAGGAUGUGCAUAUGUCAUAUGCAAACACGAUGCCAUUUUAUUGCAGGGACCUGAGUGCCCACAGACCUUGGAUUCCAUAGGCAGUCCUGCAGCCCACCCCCAUGGGCACUGUGGAAUGGCUAUAAUAGAAAAUAUGGAGGUUUUAAACAGUUAUUAAUUUCUUAAGAAAAGAUUAGAUUUAGUACAUAACUGUUUAAAACCUCUAUAUUUUCUAUUAUAGCCAUUCCACAGUGCCCAUGGGGGUGGGCUGCAGGACUGCCUAUGGAAUCCAAGGUCUUGGGCGUUAGGUCCCUGCAAUAAAAUGGCAUCGUGUUUGCAUAUGACAUAUGCACAUCCUCCUGCAGACAGUCAUGUCAGGGUUGCUCGUAACAGCUAUACCAUGGACAUCCAUGCGAGUAGUUGUUUAAUGAAUAAUAAAGUCUGAAUGCUUAGUACAAACACAUUAAAAAAUAUGUUGAUCUAUGGUUGGUUGAAUCCACAGGCCUGGAACCCCGGGAGAGAUACAAACUCUAGAAGCAAAACGAACAAAGCACUUGAGGUCAGCAGUGACGGGUGUGGGAUCACACUGAAUCUCAUGUGUUUUGCUGUCUGUGUCACUGGUCCCGUGUAAACGGGAAUCAUUUGUAGCUUAAGGUAAAAUAGGUAACAGGAAACACUACAGAGUGGGCACGAAGGCGCGCCCCUCAUUACCCCGUGUUACAGCCAAGCGUCUGCCUCCUAGGGAAGGAUUUGUUCUGUGGGGAGACUAGAUGUUGAUGAUUUCCGGAUGUGUGAAGGGAAACUCCCUCCGAGAAGCGUGGCUUUGGCCGGAGCACAUCAGACGAGAGUUAGCGUGGCAUGGAGUUUCCACAGUGGCCCUCAGGCCUGCUGCUUCUCUCCUCUCCCCACCCCUGGCCCUGACUCUUACCAAGGGAGGCAAGUUCAGCUCCAGCUG